GCAUCGGUGGUUCAAUGUUUGAACGCUCUUUUCCCGUGCGAGAGACCCAGGUUCGAUUCCUGGCCGAAACA
rnacentral:tRNA from 1 species